rnacentral:rRNA from 1 species
UUUGUAGAAUGAACCGGCGAGUUACGAUUUGAUGCAAGGUUAAGCAGUAAAUGUGGAGCCGUAGCGAAAGCGAGUCUGAAUAGGGCGUUUAGUAUUUGGUCGUAGACCCGAAACCAGGUGAUCUACCCUUGGUCAGGUUGAAGUUCAGGUAACACUGAAUGGAGGACCGAACCGACUUACGUUGAAAAGUGAGCGGAUGAACUGAGGGUAGCGGAGAAAUUCCAAUCGAACCUGGAGAUAGCUGGUUCUCUCCGAAAUAGCUUUAGGGCUAGCCUCAAGUGAUGAUUAUUGGAGGUAGAGCACUGUUUGGACGAGGGGCCCCUCUCGGGUUACCGAAUUCAGACAAACUCCGAAUGCCAAUUAAUUUAACUUGGGAGUCAGAACAUGGGUGAUAAGGUCCGUGUUCGAAAGGGAAACAGCCCAGACCACCAGCUAAGGUCCCAAAAUAUAUGUUAAGUGGAAAAGGAUGUGGCGUUGCCCAGACAACUAGGAUGUUGGCUUAGAAGCAGCCAUCAUUUAAAGAGUGCGUAAUAGCUCACUAGUCGAGUGACACUGCGCCGAAAAUGUACCGGGGCUAAACAUAUUACCGAAGCUGUGGAUUGUCCUUUGGACAAUGGUAGGAGAGCGUUCUAAGGGCGUUGAAGCAUGAUCGUAAGGACAUGUGGAGCGCUUAGAAGUGAGAAUGCCGGUGUGAGUAGCGAAAGACGGGUGAGAAUCCCGUCCACCGAUUGACUAAGGUUUCCAGAGGAAGGCUCGUCCGCUCUGGGUUAGUCGGGUCCUAAGCUGAGGCCGACAGGCGUAGGCGAUGGAUAACAGGUUGAUAUUCCUGUACCACCUAUAAUCGUUUUAAUCGAUGGGGGGACGCAGUAGGAUAGGCGAAGCGUGCGAUUGGAUUGCACGUCUAAGCAGUAAGGCUGAGUAUUAGGCAAAUCCGGUACUCGUUAAGGCUGAGC